rnacentral:rRNA from 1 species
AAGGAAUUUUCCACAAUGGACGAAAGUCUGAUGGAGCAAUGCCGCGUGCAGGAUGACGCAUUUCGGUGUGUAAACUGCUUUUAACAAGGAAGAUUAUGACGGUACUUGUUGAAUAAGGAUCGGCUAACUACGUGCCAGCAGCCGCGGUAAUACGUAGGAUCCAAGCGUUAUCCGGAAUUACUGGGCGUAAAGCGUCUGUAGGCGGUUUGUUAAGUGGGGUGUGAAAUCUUGUCGCUCAACGACAUAGACUAUAUUUCAUACUGGCAAACUAGAGUUUGGUAGAGGCAAGCGGAAUUACUAGUGUAGCGGUGAUAUGCGUAGAUACUAGUAAGAACAUCAAUGGCGAAGGCAGCUUGCUGGGCCAUAACUGACGCUCAGAGACGAAAGCGUGGGGAGCAAAC